GUGAACAACACUGGAAAAUAGUAUCGGUCUAGGCUAUAAAUUAACGUGCAGACAUCGCUAAAAUGAAGCCCAUUCAAUUUUAAUUUAAGCAAAAAAGAGACUAGGAGAAAGAGGAAUCCGGCAAUGGGGAUUCGCAAGGUUCAACUAAUGAAGCCUCUUCACAAGGUUGACCUGAGGCGGCUAACGUUAGGGAUGCUGAAAACAACAUUAGCGACGCUACGGUGACCCCUGCGGUCACCUCAACGUUCACUGUAGCCGGUGGAGGGAGAACAUAUAGAUUCAAUGCGAAUUGGCUCAAAAUGUUCCCAUGGCUUGAGUUCGAAAACAACGUCAUGUUCUGCAAAUAAUGUAGAGGGCAGAAACAGGCGGGAUCGUCUUUCGUGUCAGGAAACCCGCAUCUGAAAAGAGAUAGCGUAGCAAAACAUUACAUCUCGCGGCGGCAUAAUCCAGUGCAGAGAUCUGUACGUGUUGAGAGAAACCUUCAGGCACGGUGUCAGCAGCCUUGAGGAGGCAAGUGCUGCUGUCAGAGGAGGAUAAGAGGAGGCAGCUGAAAAUAAAGAUAAACAUCGCAUCCUCCAUUGCGAAAGAAGAACAUUUCGUCAAAUUUGAGCCGCUUAUCAGACUCCACCACAAAAACGGAGUUGACAUUAAUCCCACAUACGACAAUGAUGUAAAAUGUGCGGAGAUGAUCGGUCAAAUUGCUGACAUAAUGAAAGAGCGCCUGGCAGCGAAUCUGAAAGCCGCGAAGCAUCUUGCCUUUCUAAUAGACGGAGACACUGAUAUAUAUCCAACACCGAAUGUGAGAUUAUCUACGUACGCUUGUUGGAGGAUGGGAAGGAAGCCAGUCAAUCUCCUGGUCGGACAACAGACACUUGAGCACUCUCAUGCCAUUGGUGUUCUGGAUGCCACCAAGGCCACAUUUGGUGCUGUUUGCCCAGAGGAGGAUGGAGGGUCAUAGAUGAAGAAGUGCAUCUCCUUUGGGGCAGAUCGUGCCUCCAUGAACAUGGGCCACUGUGGGGGAGUGAUUGCCCACCUGCAGAGAGAGGCAGGGGUGGCAUAUAAUCCAAAUCCACUGUAUGCCACAUAAAUUUGUAACUAAUAAAUUCGCUAUGAUUUAGUUUUAUUUGCUAGCAUCGAUUGUUAAACAAUACCGUGUGUGUGUGUGUCUGUGUGCUAAGUGCUAGAAUGGUAAAUACCACAGAAUUAUUGUUUUCUGAUGGCACGAGACAGGGGGGGAAGGAGACGGUGAAUUGUUUGGAAGAUUCUGUUCCGACUUUCACAGACUCGAGCUGGCAAUACUGACCAUUCAGAAGAAAGAGCCAAAGAAGACGUAUGGAAGACGCAUCACUUCAGCUGAAAAUCCAAACGAGAACUCUAUGUUCUUGGGCAAGAGGUCGUCGGUGUGGAUAUUUGCCCCCAUGUCCACAGAGCCCUUAAAGUGUUCCUACAGCAUAUGGACAAGACAAGGACCUUGCCACUGACGAAGGCCAGUACUCCGUUGUUCUGCAGCACAUGGAGCACCUGGCCGUAGCAUCAACAACAGAAGUUCCAGGGAAGGGCAAAGGGAAUAACACUGAAGGGGAAUCUGAAAGGCUUCACGGACCUCACCAAUCCCCAGCUGAGGCAGCACAUGGAGGUGGCCAUCAACAUCGGCAUGGAUGAUCUCAAAGCCAGGUUUGGUAGUUUGCUGAAGGAUGAGGGUGUCCAGACCCCAGUGGAGUCUUUCAGAGUGCUAAACCCUGACACCUGGCCAGAAGACCAGGCCAGCCUUCUCACCUUUGGCGAUGAUGGUGUGGCAGACCUGAUGAGGCAUUUCAAGAAGCCUCUAGAGAGGUAAGAAUUAAUUUUUUUAUUUGUAUUUUACACCCCUUUUUUCUCCCCAAUUUCGUGGUAUCCAAUUGGUAGUAGUUACAGUCUUGUCUCAUCGCUGCAACUCCCGUAUGGACUCGGGAAAGGAGCCAUGUGUCCUCCGAAACACAACCAAACAAAGCCGCACUGCUUCUUCACACAGCGCGCAUCCAACCCGGAUGCAACAUUGCUGUAAUCCAGGAUGAGUGGCAGGAGCUGAAAAUCCUGGUCAGUCACAAUUUUAAGGACAAGUCCUACAGUGGCCUGUUGACAAAUGACCCCUACAGGCACAAUUACAAGGUAGACUAACAGUCCUGAGUGGUUAUGUCUGGUAUCCUAUGGUUGGUUUUGAUAAGUUAAUGGUAAGAGUUUAAAUGAAAUUGAAAGAUAUAAUCUUUUCGCUAGAACAUACUGGAGUUGGUGCAGCUUAUGCUGGUUCUGCCCAUUUCACCCACCCAGUGUGAGCGAGGCUUCUCUGCGCAGAACCGGAUUAAGAAUUCGACAAGAAGCUGCCUUGGGUUCUCCACCGCCAAAGACCUGAUGAGGAUCAGCCUGGAGGGGUCUCCUGUCGAGGAGUUCCAUCCCACUCCUGCCGUGGACCGCUGGCUGACCUCUAAGCGUGCCAGGCGGCUGACCUCUUAGCGUGCCAGACGGCUGACCUCUAAGCGUGCCAGACGGCUGACCUCUAAGCGUGCCAGACGGCUGACCUCUAAGCGUGCCAGACGGCUGACCUCUAAGCGUGCCAGACGGCUGACCUCUAAGCGUGCCAGACGGCUGACCUCUAAGCGUGCCAGACGGCUGACCUCUAAGCGUGCCAGACGGCUGACCUCUAAGCGUGCCAGACGGCUGACCUCUAAGCGUGCCAGACGGCUGACCUCUAAGCGUGCCAGACGGCUGACC